rnacentral:rRNA from 1 species
CAGUAGCCGCGGUAAUACGUAGGUCCCGAGCGUUGUCCGGAUUUAUUGGGCGUAAAGGGAGCGCAGGCGGUCAGGAAAGUCUGGAGUAAAAGGCUAUGGCUCAACCAUAGUGUGCUCUGGAAACUGUCUGACUUGAGUGCAGAAGGGGAGAGUGGAAUUCCAUGUGUAGCGGUGAAAUGCGUAGAUAUAUGGAGGAACACCAGUGGCGAAAGCGGCUCUCUGGUCUGUAACUGACGCUGAGGCGCGAAAGCGUGGGGAGCAAACAGGAUUAGAUACCCCAGUAGUCCCUGUCUCUUAUACA